rnacentral:rRNA from 1 species
UACGUAGGUGGCAAGCGUUGUUCGGAAUUAUUGGGCGUAAAGGGCGCGUAGGCGGUUUGUUAAGUCGGCUGUGAAAGCCUGGGGCUCAACCCCAGAGAGUCGGCCGAUACUGGCAAACUAGAGUACGGAAGAGGUAGCUGGAAUUCCCGGUGUAGCGGUGAAAUGCGUAGAUAUCUGGAGGAAUACCGGUGGCGAAGGCGGCAUCCUGGACCGGCAUUGACGCUGAGGAGCGAAAGCUAGGGGAGCAAACGGG